rnacentral:rRNA from 1 species
GUGAAAUUGUGAAAGGGAAGCGCUUGCAACCAGACCUGCUGCAGUUGCUCAUCCGGGCUUUUGCCCGGUGCACUCUUCUGCUGUCAGGCCAGCAUCGGUUCGGGCGGUCGGAUAAAGGCUCCGGGAAUGUAGCUCCUCUCGAGGAGUGUUAUAGCCCGUUGCGAAAUGCGGCCAGCCUGAACCGAGGUCCGCGCUUCGGCUAGGAUGCUGGCGUAAUGGUUGUAAGCGGCCCGUCUUGAAACACGGACCAAGGAGUCUAACAUCUGUGCGAGUGUUUGGGUGUCAAACCCGUACGCGUAAUGAAAGUGAACGGAGGCGGGAACCCCUCGGGGUGCACCGUCGACCGAUCCUGAUGUCUUCGGAUGGAUUUGAGUAAGAGCAUAGCUGUUGGGACCCGAAAGAUGGUGAACUAUGCCUGAAUAGGGUGAAGCCAGAGGAAACUCUGGUGGAGGCUCGCAGCGGUUCUGACGUGCAAAUCGAUCGUCAAAUUUGGGCAUAGAGGCGAAAGACUAAUCGAACUAUCUAGUAGCUGGUUCCUGCCGAAGUUUCCCUCAGGAUAGCAGUAACGUUUUCAGUUUUAUGAGGUAAAGCGAAUGAUUAGAGGCCUGGGGGUUGAAACAACCUGCACCUAUUCUCAAACUUUAAAUAUGUAAGAAGUCCUUGUUACUUAGUUGAACGUGGACAUUUGAAUGUAUCGUUACUAGUGGGCCAUUUUUGGUAAGCAGAACUGGCGAUGCGGGAUGAACCGAACGCGGAGUUAAGGUGCCGGAAUGCACGCUCAUCAGACACCACAAAAGGUGUUAGUUCAUCUAG